CUACGGGUGGCUGCAGUGGGGAAUAUUGCACAAUGGGGGAAACCCUGAUGCAGCGACGCCGCGUGAGCGAUGAAGUAUUUCGGUAUGUAAAGCUCUAUCAGCAGGGAAGAUAAUGACGGUACCUGACUAAGAAGCUCCGGCUAAAUACGUGCCAGCAGCCGCGGUAAUACGUAUGGAGCAAGCGUUAUCCGGAUUUACUGGGUGUAAAGGGAGCGUAGGCGGUGCGGCAAGUCUGAUGUGAAAGGCCGGGGCUCAACCCCGGGACUGCAUUGGAAACUGCCGCACUAGAGUGUCGGAGGGGUAAGUGGAAUUCCUAGUGUAGCGGUGAAAUGCGUAGAUAUUAGGAGGAACACCAGUGGCGAAGGCGGCUUACUGGACGACAACUGACGCUGAGGCUCGAAAGCGUGGGGAGCAAACAGGAUUAGAUACCCCCGUAGUC
rnacentral:rRNA from 1 species